GUUCGCAUUAAUAGUGUGGGUAGCCUGCCGAUGGCACAUUCAAAAAAGCUUGCAAAUGGUGUGAUUUUCCACAAGGAAAAGAUUAGUUCGGACGGGAAAAGAACAAGAAAGUGUAGCUGCUGAAAAAGGCUCGCGUAAAACAACCCCAUUAAUAUGUCGACCAGAGACAAUUGUUUGACGCCACGGCUUUGAAGGUCAUCCACGGAUGCUUUAUUACAGGGAAGUAGCUAAGCUGUUGAACAUCCGAUCAGGAUACACCGUGCCCGCAUUCUCGCUUUUGUGUACCAUUUUUGCCCAAUCUAACAAAUUGAUUUUAUUUCAGCAAUCGAAUAGUUCUUCUUGCGCGAGAGAGAGUGUGUGUGUGUGAACGUAUGAAUGAAAUUGUGUGCUUAAAAACGAAUACAUAUACGUGGGGCGGGACUGAAAAGCAUUCAAGCGAAUGUAAAGGGGAAACAUCACUAAUAUUCUUGUUCUACUACACCUAAUCCUUGCACAACCAUCUUAUAGCAAAGUUCCUUCGCCUGCUGGCUACCGCUGCAGAAGCGCAUCCAUAUGGACGAGACUGGCUGGACCAUCCUGCGUAUUCUGUCGCAGCGCAAUAACGACGAAAUAGCGAAAGAAUUCGUCAAGCUAAAGUCGGAAGCACGGCAGGAGAUUGCGGCUCAGGGCUAAACAAAAAGGCAAAAGUUAAACAAAUAUGUCAGUGUUGCGUGGACCGAAAACAUAAUAAUUCGUUAUUUACUAUUCGUGAAUAUAAGGCAAAAGAAAAAAAAAGAAACAAAAACAAAAAUUACAAAAAAAACUACAAAACACACACACACACACGAACUAUUCAACUUACAUCAACCUAGAACCUAUCAAAGCAAAAUAUAAAAAGUGUAAGAAGUAAUGCGUAAGCAGCAAUGGAAGUAGUAAGACAAACAAACAAUAGAUGGAUAACCGACUGCAAUUCAUAUGGAAUGCAUCGAUCAGGUGACGUGAAGCGGGUUAGGAGACAUAGAGAGAACGCUAAGCGAAAGAGGUUAAGUCAGCAGUAAAACUAUACACGUAACUAAUCUUUAUCUCUCGACUAUACUUCUAUUCCUACGAUCGUACCAUCACUGUGUGUAUGUGUGUGUGUGUGUGUGUAUAUCCCAAUCGCAAAUUGUAUUGUCGUCAUAGUUAUACAAAGAAACCAAACAAAAAAAAAACAAACAAGUAACUCGUCGUCUAUAGGAGUGUCUCUUGGUGGCAGGACGUUGGCAUCCGGACUGACGGAGGUUCCGUCCGUUCCGUUUUGGUUAGUAAAUCCUGCCCAGUUUGGCCCAAACUUCCCGUCUACUACUACUAUCAACACGUGCAACCAUAAAACAAUCGAUGUUCGGGAGCUGCUCAAUACGCUCCUCCAUAUCCACUUCCUUACUCUGAAUAUAUCUGAUGUUAUUCCUCUUCUACGUUCCGAUGUUAUCAGUUCCUUUUUGAAAAUAGGGAAUAUCUCGCGUUCCGUUCGGUAAUCGACGUAGAGCUAUAGAUCAGAGAUCGGUCAGAUCGGUAGUGUUGUAAGCGAAAAGCCAAAUAACAAAAUCGAAAGACGAACAAAAAAACAAUCAAAAACUGUUUAAGCAAAUCACCCGUAAAGUAUUAUGUUUUCCAUUUGAUGUUAACGAAGAAACAAAGACAAAACAAAGGAAACAAAUCAUCGAUGUUGAAAAGAAUUUAAAUCCGCUGAACAUACCCGAAGAGCGCGAGAAAGAGAUGGAGUUGAAGGAAGAAAAGCAACUAAAACCAUUGGAAUAGAUUUGUUGUUUUCGAUUCAUGCGCACAGAAAUAAACCCACUAGGAACAACAGAGAACCGAUCGAACAGGCUGGCAAGUUUGUAUUGUCAAACAAACAGUGCGAACUAUCCAACCGGUACAGUGCACAGGUAGGAAGCGGCUCAGAAGGUAUCGAAACAACAUAUAUAGUACAUACAUACACUCGUACACCGUUAUCAUAAUCGGCAGUAGCAUCCAUGUACACGUAUAUAAAUAUCAUACAAAUAUCAUACAUACGCAUACCAAACCUACCUACCUAUUCCUGCCUACCUGCAUACCCUAUCUACCUUCCAGCAACACACCCGACCUACCUACCUACCUACAGAGCACAUACAACAUAUUGCAUAUAGGACAAAUACAAAACAAAACAAAACAAAAAAACCAACAUACCAGACACAGAUUGUGUCCGAAUGCAAAAAAAAAAGUAUAAGAAGUAAUCAUAGCUGUAACAGAGGAAAAGUAAUAUAUCACAUUAGCAUACACAUACACCCGUCGUUAGCCAUGCGAAGUGAAGUCGCGAUCAUGAUCAUAGAAGUAGUGGUGUUGGUGGAGGAGACGCAUUGCAUCAUUAUAAGCUAGGAUAUGUAAAAAUGUUAUGCACUUAGCAGAAAAAAAACAAAACAAAAAACAAACCAACAGUUGAUAGAAGCUAAUACAAUUUGAUUGUUUAAACAUAUUUUCUAACAAUUCCUUGC